GUUGAGAAGAAAGGGAGGAACAGAUACGGCCAUGCACAGAUUUCUCGCCACAGGACACUGUUUCUGAUCUCUCUUCUUCAGGAUUCACUCUCUAACCACAAGAACGGGUGUCAGACCCAACAGACAAACUUCAUACAGCACCACAAAGUUGGAACGAAUAAGGUUUCUUGGGAUACUGUAUCAAUAUUUGGUGAACUUACAGGACAGCACAGCAUUAUCAUCAGACCAUAUUUGAAGUUGCUGGAAUCACAGGACAGGAAGUGACAUCAAUGGAGC